UUAAAUGUUUUCUUUACUUUUUAUUUCAGUCUAUUUUAUUCUACUCUUUUGCUAAAUUACUGAUGCUUUUAUGCAAGUUAACCUUAGCCUAUUCCUUCAUACCCGAUUGCAUUCAUUAUUCUUUCUCUCAUGGGUGUUACUUGUUGAGUACGGUGGUUUGUACUCAGCCUUGCUUAAUUUUUUCCCACCAGAGCAAGUGCUAGAGCCUAAGUCAGAAGUCAGAAGGCUGUUCCCAAAGUUGAAGUGAGGUUUAGUUCGCCGUCAAGAAUGCCUAUGGUGUGGAGCCGUAAUCGCCAGCCGAAGCUGAAGAUUAGAUGGUUUAGCCUUGUUUCUUUUUCCGCUGCAUUUCGAUAGUUAAUUGUUUUUAUAUGUUUUUAAGUCGUGGAACUGUGUAUUAAUUUGUCAUAGUAUGUCCUCGGGCUGAUUCCUGGACCGAGAUUAAUGCAUGCUAUUGUUCAAAAAUUUACACCAAAUUUCUAGGCGUGACAAUCUUCCAUGGCUAAUGCAACUAGCUUAUCAUCAUCCAAUGUUCGGAGAAGACCAGGUUUACCUGAAUAAUAUAUAUCCAUUCAUCUUUUUAUAGGGCCUAAUACCAG
rnacentral:lncRNA from 1 species